ACUAGCAAAAAAAACACGCAUCUCUAUCGCCCCCUCACACAGAAAUACCAACCUCACCUCUCUCCUCUCGUCACCCACACCCUAAACCUAACCCGAUUCCGCCGCCGCCGCCCCCGCCCGUCUGCGCCGCGGCCCCCGACCUGCGCGCCGCCGCCCUUCCACUGGUCCCCUCGCGCCACAUCAUCCCGACCCCAACCUCCCUCUAGCCCACAGUGCACCAUCCUCCCAGUAGCAGCAAGCCGUCCACUGCGGCAGGAGCAGCAGCGGCACCGAGGAGAAGCAGCGCCGUCAACCACCACCAGAUAGAUGCAGCAGCACCUUCCACCAGUGAGGAGAAGCAGUACCGUCAGCCACGGAGGAUCCACCGUGGUUCUUCCUCCAUCGGCAAUGUCUGUUCCUGCGGAUCUUCUUUCCUCCGCCCAGCCUACAAAAUUCAAGAGGGGAUAUCGGGAUGCUGCACGCCGCGCCCUGCUUGGAUCUGAUGGAGCGGGCGAGGUAGUGGUCGGGGCAUGGGAUGGCGCCUUCGUCGUCAAACCAUUGGGAUUCAGCAUAUUUCUGCAGUCUUCUUCAGAGAUCAGGAGGGUUCGAUUCAACACAAUUCCAGGCUUGGGUUCCUGUCAAACAAAAUCAUCUCGACAGCAUUCCUCUUUCUUGCUUCUUAUUAGUCAAACUCUGAAAUCAAUUUCUAUAUUUUAGUGGGUACUUAAUUGAUUUGAUAGGCUAUAUCUACGUGUGAUGCAUCAACUAGGCUUUGUAAAUGGAUACAUAGUGUUUUCUGGUUAUUUUCUUCAAUAAUUAUGUGUUCCCAUUUCUCCCACUCAACAUGUUACAGAAUUUAGUGAUUAACAUUUAUCUACCGAAUUACAAUUCAGUCAAGCAUUACAAUCUUUAUGCCAAAACUAAACAAUAGAACAAAGUCUGCGUGGGAUUUGUAUUGCCAGCUAUGGCUUCAAAAAACAAAACCAAUAGUAAGUUAUUUAUGUACUAAAUCCCCUAAUGAUAUUAGCAUAUGUUGUUUGAAUUUAACUAUUGAAGAGCACAUGAAUGGUACUAGCAUCUAGGAUUGAGGGAUUAAAAGUUUACAAAAUUUCAAAGAAAUUGUAUGUUGGUUUCAUCUCUUUGUUGUUCUGAAAUUGCCGCCCUUGUUGAAUUGUUCUCUAUCACAUCUAAAGCAAAAUUUUACAGUUAGCAUAUGUGAUGGACUAUAUUUUUAAUUGGGGCUCGAGUAUAAUGGACUGGGAAUCAUUCUCUUAAUGAUCUGGUACUCUUGAACUCGUGCAUGAAACGUGCUUUUGUCAUAUAUAUUUCUCCCGAGGUUUGUGGGGAAUAAGAAAUUUAGAUAAAGAUAUGAUAUCUACACAUAUAGUAUAUCUUAAAGUCUGAAAGUCAGUCUUUCACUGUCCCUUUGAGCCUUCUUCCCAACCUUUGAGGAUGUACAUAGCACCCUGCAGAGAUAACUUUUUUUAGAUGUGUAGAGCACUUCUUGAUGUUCAUCUUACCAGCUAGAUCUCACAUGUAACAACUAUGUGGUAGAAUAAACUUUUGCAAACACAAGAAAAAAUUGCAUUCUGCUGGAUUUUCUGUUACAGUUUUCAUGUUGUUUUUUUCCUGUUGAGGGGGACUAUUCAAAUAUACUGAUGGUCUAAAAAAACCUAUGUAUACAUUAACAUCAAACAAUUAUGCAGAAAGUGGACCUUUUUAAGUUCAGGAAAACUGCUUGAUGUCAUUUCACUCGGUAAAUGUCAGUCUGGUUUAGUGUUCUCUAAAGCUAUUUGACCCCAGCUACAUGGUCCAGUAGCAAUAACAGCCACAUGAUGGCCAAUUCAGAAAUACCUUUAGGCUCUGUUUGGAUGUCUGUAUUGUUGGGCUCUGUAUUGAAUUGACUGGAAUACCAAUUCGACAAGGAAAUUGAAAUGGCAUGAAUACGAAUUCGCUUGUUUCGUUGUUUGCUGAAUUAGCUAUUGGAAUUUCAUCAGGUUUCAUUACCAAGUCCUGUUUGGAUGACAAAGUCUGGAAUUGCAUGUUCACAUGAGUAUGAAGAUUCUGAAGAUGGAAUGUGACAAAUUUCAGCGCCAUUUUGUUUGUAUUUGCAACAAAAACAUUACCAAAGUACGCUCAAGAGCAUAAAAAAAAUACUUCGGGGAGCCAUGCUUGCUAGCUCUGCACGCUAAUACUUGCUGCCGCUCCCGACCGCUGCUUGUCCUCUGUUGCUCGCCAAUCCUGCUCGAAACUGCUUGUUGCCGCUGCUCGCCACUCCUUGUCUAUUCAGCUUCCCGCCCUGCAGAAGAUCGACCGCCGCCGCUACGCCGCUCUCCGUCGGAGACAGGCCAACAAGGAUUCAGUCUUGCCGAGAUGAGGCUGCCUCCGCCAAGAAAGCACUGCGGGAGGGAGGGAUAGGGUCAUGGUCGUGAGGGAGGAAUUUGUCGCCACCACAGGAUGGGGAUGGGGACGCCCGAGAUACAGGAUGAGGUUGUGGUGGGCGCGCAGGCGGAGGAGGCAGGGACGGAAUGGGGACGCGGAGGAGCUCCCUGCCAAUUUCACUUUGGAGGCCAGCGAGUGCGAGGAACGAGGCGGCGGUGGAGCUCCCUGCUCCUCUCCUCCAUGGACGGCGGGGGGCUCCUGGAGGCCGGCGAGCGCAAGGGGCGAGGGCGGCGGCGGAGCUCCCUGCUUCUCUCCUCCAUGGACGGCGGGGGGCUCCUGGAGGCCGGCGAGCGCAAGGGGCGAGGGCGGCGGCGGAGCUCCCUGCUCCUCUCUCCAUGGGCUUCUUUUUUCUUAUCAAGACGAACCGGUACGUUUUGCGGGGGCGAGCGUUUCCGAGCAAAUCAAAGGGUUCGGGCUCGGUAUUCAGCACAAGCGAGAGGAUUCAAGCUCUGUAUUGAUAUUCAUUUCCAUCGGCCAAUACAGAGGACAUCCAAACAGCUGAAUUGGGGGCUGCCAAUACCAAUUCCCAAUUCAGAGGCUGAAUACAGACAUCCAAACGCAGUGUUAGUGAUAUGUUGGAGUACAACCACAUGAGAGGUGGAGCUUGCUUGUGGAUAUGAUGGAAUGCAAACAAUGGGCGAUGCUCACCACAUGUCCAUUGCAUGGCUAUCAAAUAGGAUCAAACCUUGCACCAAGUCAUGGUUGUCGUCAUCGCAGAGUUCAGUUAUUAUUCCUGUCAACAUCACCAUGUUCUAUCUGACACUUGGAACUGAGAGCAAGUAGUAUACCACUACCAGUACCUCUAGUAGUGUGGAUCAACAUGUUUUUGCAAUUCUGUUUUCGAAAGUAUUUUAUUUUCAUUCAUCUAGUAUUGUGGAUCGGCAUGUUUUGUCUAGUUUAUAUUACAUCUGUUUGUGACCUGGUACAUCUAUUUCUGACCUGUUUGUGUCCUGGUGCAAUCUUCAAUGCUUUUUUCUAUUUCUCGUUCCUCGUUCUGUCCUAUGGAGAAUGGGGAAAACAUGUGAAAGCUCAAGAUCUUUCUGUAACUAAAAGUUCUAUCAUAUGCACUAGUUCAAUCCCAUUAAAGUUCCACUAAUGCGCUAGAAUUUAUCAUUCCUGCUAUUGAUUCCUAGAAUUUACUGGCCUUAUCUCUCCUCCUGAAUCUUUGGUUGACUGUUCCUCCUAUACUGGAUCAUAUUUACUGGCCUUAUCUCUCCACAUGAAUCUUUGGCUCCCCUGCUAUUUGAUGUUGAAGAACUAACAAGUACCGAUGGUUUCCUUAGGUAGGAAACAUCAUUUUGCACUAUAUCAUCUCUUUUGGACUGAAAAUAUAGAACAUAAUUGUUUUGUACAGAACUUUUAGCAGCAGUCACCACACUAUUUUUUAUCAUCUCUUUUGGACUGAAAUAAAUAACAUUUUGUACAGUAUAUAACUAGCUAUGAGGAUGCUGAUUGUUGUUGCACAGGAAACGACAUUACAUAAUAAAAAUAUUCUUUGAGUUCUUAUUAUGGACUGACCUGGUACUGUAGCUUAGGGUUGUGUGUCAGAUUGAUAUAUUAUGGAAACCCCGCUCCCGAGCAGGCCUAGUACAAGAAUUAGUAAAAUUUAUUGUUAAGCAAAAUGGUUUGCACGUCACUAACUUGGUAUAGAUCCACAACAAAACUCUAACAUUGCUGAGAAUAGGUUCGGAUGCAAUACAGUCCAGAAAAUCACGUCUCUUCCAUCCUGCCCUCAUUUUGUUGCAUGUCCUUCUCAUUUUCUAAAAUUGCUCAAAGAUACAAGUUCUUUUGCAGGGACAAAUGGGAGAAAGUACCAUGUACUGAAGUUGAUCUAGGAUGUUUUGUUGUUCAUAUGGAAGUUGAUGUCGGCUUGAUCAAAGACCGGGUAUCUCCCAUAAUAUUUUGUAGUAGCCAAGUGAUCGAACAUUUGGUCUCUUGAGAACUUGCUCAUCAUAUUUUGUAACUGGCCAUGACCUGAAUGCCGACUUGUAUUUUUCCUUAAUGGCUGGAGCUAACUUGAGUGAAGAAAACUAGUGAAUCUUCUAUAUAUGUUGAAUGAAUGCAUUGGAUGUUA